CACCUGCCUCACGAAGAGCCUGCCUGUUACGCGAAUGCAGUAAGAAGCCAAGGUUCUUAAGCCAGAGCUCCAGGGCGUAUUUGGUACCAGUGCUAACCCGCUCCACAUCCUCUCCACUAUUCGGGGCCCGGUUACACAAAACAGACAAUGGCAAAUCUGACUCACUGAGCACACCUUCCGGAGAGACCUCCGAUACACUGGAGAACCAACGCCACAGAAACAAAAUGGUAACAUUGUUAAGAGGAAACCAAUUAAAUAAUUGUCAGAGGAAAUCAGCCUAGUAAAACUUUUUUUCACAAAUACUUGUCAAUGGUACAGUAUAUAAUAUAUAUUUUUGUCUGUGUCUGUUUAUGUUUUGAGUACAUUACUUUGUGGAUGUGAUGUACCUUAUGGUUGGAGCCACGCCCUCCAGCGGUGUCACAGAACCCUCCUCACCGUCCACGGCGGAUACGAUGGCCUUGACCAGCGAGGCGUCCACCCACAGACAGCCACUGACCUCAGCGGGCUCGGGGCGCAGAGAGGCCUAGAAUAAAGAUGGUCUUUAGUGAGUCAGAGGCAUUCUCUUUGAUUUGGCUUUGUGUGCCUUUAAUGAUAACACCAGACAGACAGAGACCAACAGGACAGUCAGGCAGACAGACACCUGGAGCUGCUGGUGUGUGAGGGAGGUGUUUAGGAGCAUGUAGGUGACCACAUGGUGCCUCUGUGGCAUCCCUCUGCUCAGCAUGGGCGGGAAAACUGACUGUGAAGAGAAACAGAACAAACAUUUGAGCCAACAUGAGCAAACAGGACUGUCAGACAAAUCAGAAUUGAUCAAAUGUCUGUGGAAUUGUGGCCAGUAGGUUUUUUCUAAUAUAUUUACAUAUGAUGAUUAUUAUUUACAAAACUAUUCCCUGGGCCUAGAAAUGUGAUGUGUAGUGGCAGUGAUUUCCCACCUCCCAGAGCCCCAGCAGCUGAGCUGAGACGUCUCCAGGGUCCAGCUUCAGUCCUGUCUCCUCCCUCAGCUCCCUCAGCCCAGCAUCCAGGAGCUGACAAACAAGAGAGAUAUGAGGCAAACACACACACGAAGCUUGAUUGAGCUAAAAGGGAAUUGACCAUAAAGACCAUGAGGGGGGUUGAAACCACAGGCAAAUACACUUAUGAGGAAUAAUCUCAUUUAUCUUCCACUGUUUAAUAGCUAUUGCAACUAGAAACGUUACCCUCUCAUCCAGUUCCACAUGGCCACCUGAUAAAAAAAGUAAAUUGGGUUACCCAAAGUGUCUUCCUAUGGAAUGCCAUUUCAUUUUGAAAGGUUACUUCUGCAGAACGAUGCCAUACCUGGUGGAACCCACACAUUGGGGAAAAUGCGGAGACUGGACGUCCGUCGAGUUAACAACACCUUCUGAUUGGCUGACUGCAGAAGAAUAGCAACCCCCACGUCCACUCCGCGGCUCUGAACAUCCAAUGGGAUUGCAGCUGCCUCUGCGACAGACAGAUACUUGAAGGGGCAAAAGGUUGCCCUCUGAGAAAAAACAAAUAUCAACCAAAUAAACUCAAACAUUUUCCAUUACACUUUUUUCAGUCAACCAACAAUAAUUUCUAUGGGAUACACAAAACAACUGUCUGAGGUAUGGAAAUGUGGCCACAACUGAUAAAACAAUUAAACCUAUCAGUUUAUUAAAUUGAA